UGCGGAAGGAUCAUUAAUUAUGUUAAAGCGCCUUACCUUAGGGUUUCCUCUGGGGUAAGUGAUUGCUUCUACACUGUGAAAAUUUGGCUGAGAGACUCAGACUGGUCAUGGGUAGACCUAUCUGGGGUUUGAUCGAUGCCACUCCUGGUUUCAGGAGCACCCUUCAUAAUAAACCUAGAAAUUCAGUAUUAUAAAGUUUAAUAAAAAACAACUUUUAACAAUGGAUCUCUUGGUUCUCGCAUCGAUGAAGAACGUAGCAAAGUGCGAUAACUAGUGUGAAUUGCAUAUUCAGUGAAUCAUCGAGUCUUUGAACGCAGCUUGCACUCUAUGGUUUUUCUAUAGAGUACGCCUGCUUCAGUAUCAUCACAAACCCACACAUAACAUUUGUUUAUGUGGUGAUGGGUCGCAUCGCUGUUUUAUUACAGUGAGCACCUAAAAUGUGUGUGAUUUUCUAUCUGGCUUGCUAGGCAGGAAUAUUACGCUGGUCUCAGGAUCUUUUUUUUUGGUUCGCCCAGGAAGUAAAGUACAAGAGUAUAAUCCAGUAACUUUCAAACUAUGAUCUGAAGUCAGGUGGGAUUGCCCGCUGAACUUAAGCAUAUCAAUAAGCCGGAGGAA
rnacentral:rRNA from 1 species